CUCAACCCAAAGCUCCUCCUCUACUAGCUCACCCAACAUUCAGACCCACGGCAAAGACACCAUACCCACCAUACCCAGAUUCCUCAAUCAAAACCCACCAUACCCACAAACCAACAGAGAUCUCCUUCCUCAGACCCACGGCAAAGACCACUUCUCCUUACUCCAAAAUGCAGACCACCAACCACCGCAGAGAUCUCCUUCCUCAGACCCAUGACAGAGCAUCCAAAGAAUCAAAACCUACCAUACCUACCAUUCCCACAAACCAACAUAUAUCUACCGAAGAGGAAAAGGAAACUGGGUAGCUGAUUAUUUCAAGAAACAACAAAGGAUCCUUGAAGGUUGUUUGGGCAGGGAUUUGGCAUUUUGUUAUCUGGGUUAUUUGGUAAUACAACAUCAAGACGAGAACAGUCAUGUAUUUACCAGUCUUUCCUUUAUUUUGUACUGUUUAUUGCAUAUUUAUUGGUAAUAUGUUUCUAGAAAGUACCAAUAUUUUUCUGUUAUAUUUGGUAUUUAUUGGCAUAUUUUAACAUCACUUGAAAUAUCAAAAGAUAUGAUGUUAAAAUAUAUUGAAGGUUUAGAUAUAGCUGAAUCAUCAUUAAUUAUUUUAUUGUCUUAUGAAUUACAUGUGACCGUUAAUUUUAAUCAUCAUUCAAAAUAUGGGGUGCAAUUUCCAAGUUUAGGUGCA